rnacentral:rRNA from 1 species
GACGAACGCUGGCGGCGUGCUUAACACAUGCAAGUCGAACGGAAAGGCCUCUUUCGGGGGGUACUCGAGUGGCGAACGGGUGAGUAACACGUGAGUAACCUGCCCUUGACUUUGGGAUAACUUCAGGAAACUGGGGCUAAUACCGGAUAGGAGCUCCUGCUGCAUGGUGGGGGUUGGAAAGUUUCGGCGGUUGGGGAUGGACUCGCGGCUUAUCAGCUUGUUGGUGGGGUAGUGGCUUACCAAGGCUUUGACGGGUAGCCGGCCUGAGAGGGUGACCGGCCACAUUGGGACUGAGAUACGGCCCAGACUCCUACGGGGGGCAGCAGUGGGGAAUAUUGCACAAUGGGUGGGAGCCUGAUGCAGCAACGCCGUGUGCGGGAUGACGGCCUUCGGGUUGGAAACCGCUUUCGCUCAUGACGAAGCUUUGUGUGACGGUAGUGGGUAAAGAAGCACCGGCUAACUACGUG